GACAUUGACGCAAAAAGUUGCAUCUUAAUCAGGUCAGAAAUUUUAACAAAUUUAUGUCUUGAUGUCUACAUGAAAACAUGCAUUUGCAGCCUUUAUUUGCAGCUAUAGUAUUUACCUACUAGUAAUUUAUCAAAUGAGGAUAGUUUGUACAUGUCAAACUGAUAGAGCUCAUAUUAAAACUAGUGAUAUAACUCAAUCAACUUGAUAUCUGGAAAGUUGCUCAAUAUGAGAAUGAUUUACGAAAGACCAGCAGCUAAUCUAGUAAGGCAAGAGAGUGCCCGCUUCUGCUCGGUCAAACGAAAGACCAGUAGCUAAUCUACUAAAGCGAGUAAGUGCCUGCUUCUGCUCGGUCAAACGAAAGACCAGCAGCUAAUCAAAAAAUCUGCUAAGGCAAGUACGUGCCUGCUUCUUCUCGGUCAACGAGAGACCAGCAGCUAAUUCUACAAAAAAUCUCUUAAGUAUUCAAUCCAAAAUUUUACAUGGGAAUAAUAUUAGAAAGUCAUAUUUAUGAGUGCAAUGAUUUUUUAAUGAUUAUGGAGCAGCCAGUUUGUAGUAUUAUGGCCAAUUCAGAUUUGGCUCAGAUCGCUAGACAAGUUUUUCAAAUUCUUUUACAGAACAGAUCCAUAUUCAAGGAUUUGAAUCAAAAACCUCAAAUGAGAGCACAUUGGCUGCACACGUUUGCAGGAAUCAGAUAGCUCAUUUUCGUCUGAAGAAUAUGCAGGGAAUUCUGUUAUGCAAUUUCACUACAAAAUGUCAAUUUUGAUACAUUUGCGAAUGAGGCAAGCUAUGCACCUGGAAGGAGACAUUGAUGCAAAAAGUUGCAUCUUAAUCAGGUCAGAAAUUUUAACAAAUUUAUGUCUUGAUGUCUACAUGAAAACAUGCAUUUGCAGCCUUUAUUUGCAGCUAUAGUAUUUACCUACUAGUAAUUUAUCAAAUGAGGAUAGUUUGUACAUGUCAAACUGAUAGAGCUCAUAUUAAAGCUAGUGAUAUAACUCAAUCAACUUGAUAUCUGGAAAGUUGCUCAAUAUGAGAAUGAUUUAN
rnacentral:lncRNA from 1 species